AUGAAAAAGAAAAUGUGUGAGACCGACGUACUGAAGCCUAAAACGGCCAUACAGGCAAAGCAAACCAGGAUUAAAGAGGCAGCCAGGGACCAUGUGUUACAAAACCUGAAGACUUCCCUGUCUCAGAAGAGGGCCCUGGACACACAAGAUCACCUCUACAGUUCUGAGAACGAAUCUCCACAACGUGUUCAUGGGGGAAAGCGAGCAAGGAUUAACAAGGCAGCAAGACGUGUGCUUUUACCCCUGGCAUCCAGUCCAAGUUCUGAUGACGCCACAUACAUAGGAAGUCCACAACGGCAUGACAUUUUAAGUCAUACUUCUUUCCCAGCUGUUGUGUACUCUGAGACAAAAAUUCUUUCUCUGUUGUAUUGCUUGUCACAGUUAUUUUCUCUUUUCACUUUUUAA
rnacentral:lncRNA from 1 species